UUUCCUUUGGUUACAAAACGUUCAUUUAAUAAUUUCUGAAAAAUGGAGCACUAUGAGGUCUUAGAAAUUCAGAAUUAAAAUAAUAUCAAGCGGUGUUCAUUAAUAUAUGACUUUACCAAAGAUAUUAUAUUAAUAAUGUAAGAUAUAUUAAUAUUUAAUACCGUAUUGUACAUAUCUGCGUAAUUGUUCGGCACUAAAGUUUUACCAUAUCGAAAAUUUUGAGGGACCCGUACAACUUUCAAACCAAAUUUAAUAUGAGAGAUCCAUCCCUGCGCGAGUAUACCAAAUUUCGAACAGAAUAUGUAUGUAGUACCUCCGCGGGUGACAGUCGAUCUCCAAAUUAUUUCGCGUUUUAAAGGGGUUGGUUUAAUUCGUCCCGAUUGUUCCUCAAUGUUUGAAAACUUGCAUCGGGACGAAUUAAAUCAACGCCUUUUAGUUUGUUGCAAGAAAAGGAAAUCCGAUACAUUACUGUGGGGAAUAACAAGAGAAUUUGGCUCUGCAGAUGUGCUAUACCGUCGCAUUCCUAUUCAUUGCGUGGUGGUUGCUGUCGGACAUUAUUUCUUGGGGGGAAUAUGACACAUUGGAUAAGCUUACGUGGCCCAUUGUAAUAAUGGUGUUCGUGCUGUUCGGGGAGUUUUUGGCGGUAUGGCUCUACCUCGGUGUCAAACAGGGAAACAAGACGAAAUGCAAGAUAUGGUUUUGGAUUCAUACCAUUUACCUGGUCGGGACGGUCAUCACAGUGCCAGUUUUAGUAGGGACAACCGGCAAAGCGGACAACCUUGGUGGGGACAUUGGCGGGAUAUUCGCACAGGUCUACUUCCUCCUCGUCGUGUACAAAGCUAUGGAGGAGAUUGACGAAGAUAAUGCUUUACCACGCCUCGAGGUGACAGGCAUGAGGGACCGUCCAUAAAUUAUGUAUGUCAUGCGAAAGGGGGUGCUAGGCUCCAAUGAAUGAAAUCGUGCCUAUGUGGGACAUGUUGAAGCGGGUGGAAGGGUAUAGAAAUUCGCGAUUUUUACAUGACAUAAUUUAUGAGUUUCCCCUGAUCAAUUAAAUUCGAAUGGGCUUAACUUUUACGCAAAAUGUGUACGUAGGUUCGGUGUUAAAAAAACUCAUAAUAAAAAGUGCUACCAUAAUAAAUUUAUCUUUCCUUACCCAUUUAUAUAAUUGAUUAAUUGUUGAUAUAUUCAAGUAUCUAUGUACAUAACUAGUUCACAGUAACAAACUAAAUAUGUUCUUCCAGAAAUGGCACAUAUCUAUAAUAAAUAAACCGUAGUAACGUUAGAAGUAGCUCGUCCUGUAAUACUUCGGUGACAACAUAAGUUGGUACACAAACUUAGACACCAAUGGUGCAAAAUAAAUGGACAAAAAUGCAUGAUUUUGAUGGAAUUUUACACCGGUGGUAGAAAAUAAGCAGACAAAAUAUAUCCAUAAUUUUCAUGGGGUUUUGCACCAAUGGUGGAGAAUAAGCGGGGAAAAUACACCCAGAAAUUUGACAUGAUUUCGACUUUUUUAGACCCCAUUCGUGGGGAUGUAUUUCUGUGGGUUAUUCUGCACUUUUGGUGCGUAUUGAAUCAAUUCUCCCAAUUGUUUGGCACCAUUUUGUGUUAUCGCAUGUUCGAUACAAAUAGUGCUAUUAAUUUCCUAAAAAUUGGACAUGGGCCUAUUUAAUUAGCAUCAAUUGAUGCAAAAAACUCAUUAACAGACAGACGGACAGACGGACAGACGGACAGGAGGAAUUCAAUAGCUCUCAUGCUACGCAGGACGAGCUAAUAAUUAUAUACAUAACAAAAUGCAUGUCGAAUUAACCCUUCAAAUUUACAUUUUGUACAUAUGUAUGUAUGCCGGUAACAAUAAAAGUUAAUUAGAGUCCGAAUAAUAGAGUUUCUGUGAAAAAUUGAGUAGCUAUAUAUGUAUGUAUGUGUGAUUUUUCAGUCACAAGGUUAUGAGUCAUACUACUUUACAUAUAUGGAAAUUACUCCAAUUCACAGAACAAAUUCCGGGGUUGCGUACUUUUGCAGAUGGCAUAAUUCGUGAUUCGUGAAAAUUAACUUAAUAAUUCUCAUUUUCAGAUUAAUUUUUAUGUUCCUGGCGUGAUAAAGCAUGCAAUCACUUGGAUACUCGGAAUUCAGUUUUAAUUUUGCUACAUAUGUACAUAUGUAACUUUAGAAUUAUUUGAAUUACAGAGGUGCAAAUGCGUAUUUGCCGAGGGGCUGUGCAUCAAUAACGUGCUCCGCGAAUUUUGACGCAUUCUCUUCUGGUGUUACAUGCAAUAAUUAACAUUGGGAAGAUGUAGCGCCUUGAUUUCUUCCUCUCUCAAAUCAUUCACAUCCUUUUUGCAUAGUCCCCUUGCACACUCAUUAAUUUCAAGCGAUCUGAUAUAAAAGAGGUGCCAGACACUUUUAAAACUCAAAUUGGCACCGUUUAGAACUGCACACAGAUCGGGAAUAAAACACUUGUUGACCUACAUAUUUACGAAUUGGGAAGUUUCUGCUAAUCGGAGUGAAAUGGAUUAUCGGACCGUGUUGACGGUAAUCUUUGUUUUGGGGGCUGCCAUACUAACGAUGUACGUCGGAGCUGGAAAUGUGGCAAAUUAUUCACUGGGUGAGGAUUCGAAAGUUAAUCCUACCAGCCAAGUGACCGUGUGCAAAUGGACGGUGUGCAGAAACCCUUGGCCGCAGUGUCCGGAGGGGUAUUAUGAGAAGGAUAUAAGUCGAUGCGGAUUUCCUAAUAGGAAGCAACGACAAUGUUGCAUAACCACGACACAGUAUAUCUGAGCUGCUUAAUCGUUUAUGCCAAUCAUGUCCAUCAAUUCUAAAUCCUCGCAAAGAAAUGAGUUAUGUAAAUUCAUAUGAAUAAAAUCUAUCAAUCUA